ACCUACGGGAGGCAGCAGUGAGGAAUAUUGGUCAAUGGGCGCGAGCCUGAACCAGCCAAGUCGCGUGAGGGAUGACGGCCCUACGGGUUGUAAACCUCUUUUGUCGGGGAGCAAAUUCCGCCACGUGUGGCGGAGUCGAGAGUACCCGAAGAAAAAGCAUCGGCUAACUCCGUGCUAGCAGCCGCGGUAAUACGGAGGAUGCGAGCGUUAUCCGGAUUUAUUGGGUUUAAAGGGUGCGUAGGCGGUUUGUCAAGUCAGCGGUAAAAAUUCCGGGCUCAACCCGGUCCCGCCGUUGAAACUGGCGG
rnacentral:rRNA from 1 species